AUUGAACGCUGGCGGCAGGCCUAACACAUGCAAGUCGAACGAGUGGCGGACGGGUGAGUAAUGUCUGGGAAACUGCCCGAUGGAGGGGGAUAACUACUGGAAACGGUAUCUAAUACCGCAUACCAUCGGAUGUGCCCAGAUGGGAUUAGCUAGUGGGGGGGGUAACGGCUCACCUAGGCGACGCUCCCUAGCUGGUCUGAGAGGAUGACCAGCCAAACUGGGACUGAGACACGGGCCAGACGCCUACGGGAGGCAGCAGUGGGGAAUAUUGCACAAUGGGCGAAAGCCUGACGGAGCAACGCCGCGUGAGUGAUGAAGGUCUUCGGAUCGUAAAACUCUGUUAGUAGGGAAGCGGUACCUAAUCAGAAAGCCACGGCUAACUCCGUGCCAGCAGCCGCGGUAAUAC
rnacentral:rRNA from 1 species